GUAUUCUUUAAAAGAUUGUGUUAAUGGUUGCUGAUUAUCCUGAAAUGAACGACAGAACUUACAUGUAAAUUCAUGACAAGUACAGUAGUAAUAAUUCUAAAGUAGGCUGAGGUCUGUAAAAACUCGGCUGAGAGUACUAAUACUAGUACAAAGUUAACAGCU